rnacentral:rRNA from 1 species
UAAUACGUAGGGUCCGAGCGUUGUCCGGAGUUACUGGGCGUAAAGCGCGCGCAGGCGGCCCGCCAAGACCGGCGUGAAAGCCCCCGGCUCAACCGGGGAGGGUCGUCGGUGACUGGCGGGCUCGAGGACGGCAGGGGUCGGUGGAAUGCCCGGUGUAGUGGUGAAAUGCGUAGAGAUCGGGCGGAACACCCGUGGCGAAGGCGGCCGACUGGGCCGGUCCUGACGCUGAGGCGCGAAGGCGUGGGGAGCGAACGGG